UUUUCUUUUUCAGUUGCAGGAAUUUAGCCAAUUCAGAGGUCUUGUUCUCCAUAAUUUGGAAUUUUCCUUCGGAUUUGAUCAAGUUGGAUAGAGUUGGUCAAACCCAAUGGGAAAAAGAUGAAAACAACAAGAAACAGAAACAAACAGCAACAACAACAACAACAAAAACAGACCCCACACCUCCAGACCCUGCUGAGGGAGGGCCACCCAUUUCUAGUCCCAGCUCCUACUCUAACUAUCUGUGUGACCUUAAACAAGGCCUUUCCCCUCUCUGGCCUCAGUAUCCGCCUCUGAAUAAUGGGGCUGGGCCUGCCGACCUUCUGGCCCUUUUCUGCUCUGUGAGUUUGUGAACUUGUGAUAGGGAGACAGGAGUCCUAGGAAGGAAAUGGAACUGGUGAUAGGGAGACAAGAGUCCUAGGAAGGAAAUGGAACUUGUGAUAGGGAGACAAGAGUCCU
rnacentral:lncRNA from 1 species